rnacentral:rRNA from 1 species
AUUGAACGCUGGCGGCAUGCCUUACACAUGCAAGUCGAACGGCAGCACGGGUGCUUGCACCUGGUGGCGAGUGGCGAACGGGUGAGUAAUACAUCGGAACGUACCUUAUCGUGGGGGAUAACGCAGCGAAAGCUGUGCUAAUACCGCAUACGCCCUGAGGGGGAAAGCGGGGGAUCGCAAGACCUCGCGCGAUUAGAGCGGCCGAUGCCUGAUUAGCUAGCUGGUGGGGUAAAAGCCCACCAAGGCGACGAUCAGUAGCUGGUCUGAGAGGACGAUCAGCCACACUGGGACUGAGACACGGCCCAGACUCCUACGGGAGGCAGCAGUGGGGAAUUUUGGACAAUGGGGGCAACCCUGAUCCAGCAAUGCCGCGUGAGUGAAGAAGGCCUUCGGGUUGUAAAGCUCUUUUGUCAGGGAAGGAACACCGGCUCUAACACAGUCCGGGAAUGACGGUACCUGAAGAAUAAGCACCGGCUAACUACGUGCCAGCCGCCGCAGUAA